UCUGGUGAAGGGCCGGGCUUGGCAUGGGGGCAAAGGAAAUCUCCGCGGGAGAGGGGCUGGAGCAUCAGCGGGGCCAGGACCCCCUCCCCGCUCCUCCCCUCUCUCAGCCAGGGCGGCGCAGGGCCAGGGAUGGUCACCGUGUUGGAAUCAAAAGGGGAUUUUUCACUCUGAGAUUAAAUAUCUAAAUAAGGGCUGACAGGACGGGAGAUCGAGAGCCAGGAAAGCUCACAUUCAGGACACAUGCCCGGGAGAGAGGGAAGGACAGAGCUGAGCAGUCCAGCUCAAAGGAUCUUGAAAGGGCAGGGGAAAGCCUUCCCCCCUGAUAAGUCAUGACCAUUCACGUCCCUGCACUGAGGUCACGUUCAAACUGAAAAAAGAAGAAGAAGGAAAAAAACCCCCACAAAAACCAAAGAUUCCGGAGGCUGGAAGUUCAAGAUCAAGGUGUCCACGGGGUUGGUUUCUUCGGAAGCCUCGUGGCUUGAAGAUGGAUGCUUUCUACCUGGAUCUUCACAUGGUCUCCUUUCUGUACAUGUCUAUGUCCUAAUCUCUUGCCUCGUAAGGACACCAGUUGGCUUAGGACCCACACAUAGGCCCUCAUUUUAACUUAAUUGCCCCCUUAAAUACCCCAUCUCCGAACACAUUGUGAAGUGUUGAAGGUUAGGAUUUCAACACAUGAAUUUGGGGCGGGGGGGGGGGAAACCUGAAUAUUCAACCUAUGACAUUUACCUUCUGGCAAAGCAAUGUAAUCCAGGUUUGGCUUCUACUUUCCCUGUCCCUCCCCUGGAAUCUGCUAUUUUUCCAGGGAGCCUGGUGCCUUUUAAUGGAUAAAGGUAUGUAGAAAGCAAAAUUG